rnacentral:rRNA from 1 species
GGUUAAUGAGGCGAACCGGGGGAACUGAAACAUCUAAGUACCCCGAGGAAAAGAAAUCAACCGAGAUUCCCCCAGUAGCGGCGAGCGAACGGGGAGGAGCCCAGAGCCUGAAUCAGCAUGUGUGUUAGUGGAAGCGUCUGGAAAGGCGCGCGAUACAGGGUGACAGCCCCGUACACAAAAGCGCAUGUGCUGUGAGCUCGAUGAGUAGGGCGGGACACGUGGUAUCCUGUCUGAAUAUGGGGGGACCAUCCUCCAAGGCUAAAUACUCCUGACUGACCGAUAGUGAACCAGUACCGUGAGGGAAAGGCGAAAAGAACCCCGGCGAGGGGAGUGAAAAAGAACCUGAAACCGUGUACGUACAAGCAGUGGGAGCACAGGUUUACCUGUGUGACUGCGUACCUUUUGUAUAAUGGGUCAGCGACUUAUAUUCUGUAGCAAGGUUAACCGUAUAGGGGAGCCGCAGGGAAACCGAGUCUUAACCGGGCGUUAAGUUGCAGGGUAUAGACCCGAAACCCGGUGAUCUAGCCAUGGGCAGGUUGAAGGUUGGGUAACACUAACUGGAGGACCGAACCGACUAAUGUUGAAAAAUUAGCGGAUGACCUGUGGCUGGGGGUGAAAGGCCAAUCAAACCGGGAGAUAGCUGGUUCUCCCCGAAAGCUAUUUAGGUAGCGCCUCGUGAAUUCAUCUCCGGGGGUAGAGCACUGUUUCGGCUAGGGGGCCAUCCCGGCUUACCAACCCGAUGCAAACUGCGAAUACCGGAGAAUGUUAUCACGGGAGACACACGGCGGGUGCUAACGUCCGUCGUGAAGAGGGAAACAACCCAGACCGCCAGCUAAGGUCCCAAAGUCAUGGUUAAGUGGGAAACGAUGUGGGAAGGCCCAGACAGCCAGGAUGUUGGCUUAGAAGCAGCCAUCAUUUAAAGAAAGCGUAAUAGCUCACUGGUCGAGUCGGCCUGCGCGGAAGAUGUAACGGGGCUAAACCAUGCACCGAAGCUGCGGCAGCGACACUCAGGUGUUGUUGGGUAGGGGAGCGUUCUGUAAGCCUGUGAAGGUGGCCUGUGAGGGUUGCUGGAGGUAUCAGAAGUGCGAAUGCUGACAUAAGUAACGAUAAAGCGGGUGAAAAGCCCGCUCGCCGGAAGACCAAGGGUUCCUGUCCAACGUUAAUCGGGGCAGGGUGAGUCGACCCCUAAGGCGAGGCCGAAAGGCGUAGUCGAUGGGAAACGGGUUAAUAUUCCCGUACUUGGUGUUACUGCGAAGGGGGG